rnacentral:lncRNA from 1 species
UAACAUACCAGCGAUAAUCAUGCUCUAAGAAAAUAAAGCAGGAAAUGGUUAUCCUUUCCAGGGGAUGGCCUCCUUAGAAAAUAAAAAAGUUCUGAAAAUUCUCAUUGUAUUAUUUCAUUGUCUCUUCAUUACAUAUAUAGUACUACUAGGUGAGGUUGUUACAUUUGUCAGGGAUAGUGGUGCUCACUCCCACUAACGGACUCAAGUCACAUAUCGACAAAACAUUUAAUAAGAGG